AAAAGCUCGUAGUUGGAUCUCAGUUGCAGAGGGACGGUCCAUCUACCGGUGGUCACUGUCUUUUCUGAACGUUACAGCCGGUUUCUCUUGAUGAUCUUCACCGGUUGUCUUGGGUGACCGGCAAGUUUACUUUGAAAAAAUUAGAGUGCUCAAAGCAUGCGUGACGCAUGAAUAAUGGUGCAUGGAAUAAUGGAAUAGGACCUCGGUUCUAUUUUGUUGGUUUACGGAAAACGAGGUAAUGAUUAAGAGGGACAGCCGGGGGCAUUCGUACUGCGACGCUAGAGGUGAAAUUCUUGGACCGUCGCAAGACGAACUACUGCGAAAGCAUUUGCCAAGAAUGUUUCCAUUAAUCAAGAACGAAAGUUAGAGGUUCGAAGGCGAUCAGAUACCGCCCUAGUUCUAACCAUAAACGAUGCCAGCCAGCGAUCCGGCUGUGUUCCUCAAAUGACACGCCGGGCAGCUUCCGGGAAACCAAAGCUUUUGGGUUCCGGGGGAAGUAUGGUUGCAAAGCUGAAACUUAAAGGAAUUGACGGAAGGGCACACCAGAAAUGGAGCCUGCGGCUUAAUUUGACUCAACACGGGAUAGCCUACCUGGCCCGGACACAGGAAGGAUUGACAGAUUAAGAGCUCUUUCUUGAUUCUGUGGGUUGUGGUGCAUGGUCGUUCUUAGUUGGUGGAGCGAUUUGUCUGGUUUAUUCCGAUAACGAACGAGACUCUAGCCUACUAAAUAGACGCUUCCGAUCCUUGUAGUCGGACGUUCUUCUUAGAGGGACAAGCGGUGUUUAGCCGCACGAGACAGAGCAAUAACAGGUCUGUAAUGCCCAUAGAUGUUCGGGGCUGCACGCGCGCUACAAUGAAGGAAUCAGCGUGUGUUUUCCCUGUCCGACAGGACUGGGUAACCCGUUGAAACUCCUUCGUGCUGGGGAUAGGGAUUUGUAAUUGUCUCCCUUGAACCAGGAAUUCCCCGUAAGCGUUUGUCAUAAGCAAGCGUUGAUUACGUCCCUGCCCUUUGUGCACACCGCCCGUCGCUAUUACCGAUUGAAUGAUUUAGUGAGGUCUUCGGACUGGCGCUCGGAUUGGCCCUCGGGUCGAGCCGAGUGCCGGAAAGAUGACCAAACUUGAUCAUUUAGAGGAAAUAAAAGUCGUAACAAGGUCUCC
rnacentral:rRNA from 1 species